rnacentral:rRNA from 1 species
AGAGUUUGAUCCUGGCUCAGAACGAACGUUGGCGGCAGGCUUAACACAUGCAAGUCGGAGGUGAACCGGGGCUUCGGCUCCGCGGAAACUGGCGCACGGGUGAGUAACGCGUGGGAAUCUACCCCGGGGUGGGGAAUAACCGCUGGAAACGGCGGCUAAUACCGCAUACGCCUUGAGAGGGAAAGCUUUAUGCGCCCUGGGAUGAGCCCGCGUCGGAUUAGCUUGUUGGUGAGGUAACGGCUCACCAAGGCUUCGAUCCGUAGCUGGUCUGAAAGGAUGAUCAGCCACACUGGGACUGAGACACGGCCCAGACUCCUACGGGAGGCAGCAGUGGGGAAUAUUGGACAAUGGGGGCAACCCUGAUCCAGCCAUGUCGCGUGCGUGAAGAAGGCCUUAGGGUUGUAAAGCGCUUUCAGCGGGGAAGAUGAUGACGGUACCCGCAGAAGAAGCCCCGGCUAACUCCGUGCCAGCAGCCGCGGUAAUACGGAGGGGGCAAACGUUGUUCGGAAUUACUGGGCGUAAAGGGCGCGUAGGCGGAUUAUCAAGUCAGAGGUGAAAGCCCUGGGCUCAACCUAGGAACUGCCUUUGAAACUGAUAGUCUUGAGUCCGAGAGAGGAUGGCGGAAUUCCCAGUGUAGAGGUGAAAUUCCUAGAUAUUGGGAAGAACACCAGUGGGUGAAGGGGCCAUCUGGCUCGGUAC